AGAAUGGAGGUGGGCUGCUCUUCUUUUGCUCCAGUUGCAGGGCGCUGAGCAAGGUGUUAUCCCAACACCCCCUGCAGAACUGCUUAGUCUGGGAGUCUUGCCGGAGAAGGAGCGGAGUCUCACUUGGGAUUGGAUGUGUGGGACAACGUCUUGCCUCCGCACAAUAUGCUCGACCACGACCUUCUGGAUGUCCGGAAAAUAGCACCAGAGCAGCUAAAGAGCAAAUUUCUCACCGUUGCUCUGUGUAUCAAGGUGGAGCAUGCCGAUGCCGAACCUCGUAGCAGCUCUCUGGAGGACAGGCAAGCAGUUAGCCUGCUAAGCACAGAGCUAGCAUUAGCAUGGACGACGACGG
ensembl:lncRNA